GACGAACGCUGGCGGCGUGCUUAACACAUGCAAGUCGAGCGAUGAAGUUCCUUCGGGAAUGGAUUAGCGGCGGACGGGUGAGUAACACGUGGGUAACCUGCCUCAUAGAGGGGAAUAGCCUUCCGAAAGGAAGAUUAAUACCGCAUAAGAUCGUAGUUUCGCAUGAAACAGCAAUUAAAGGAGUAAUCCGCUAUGAGAUGGACCCGCGUCGCAUUAGCCAGUUGGUGAGGUAACGGCUCACAAAGGCGACGAUGCGUAGCCGACCUGAGAGGGGGAUCGGCCACAUUGGGACUGACACACGGCCCAGACGCCUACGGGAGGAAGCAGUGUGGAAUAUUGCCCAAUGGAGGAAACCCUGAUGCAGCAACGCCGCGUGGGUGAUGACGGUCUUCGGAUUGUAAAACUCUGUCUUCAGGGAGGAUAAUGACGGUACCUGAGGAGGAAGCCACGGCUAACUACGUGCCAGCCGCCGCCGUAA
rnacentral:rRNA from 1 species